rnacentral:rRNA from 1 species
AACGAACGCUGGCGGCAUGCCUAACACAUGCAAGUCGAACGAUGCCUUCGGGCAUAGUGGCGCACGGGUGCGUAACGCGUGGGAAUCUGCCCUUGGCUUCGGAAUAACAGUUAGAAAUGACUGCUAAUACCGGAUGAUGUCCCCCUGAGAGAUCUUGGGGACCAAAGAUUUAUCGGCCAGGGAUGAGCCCGCGUAGGAUUAGGUAGUUGGUGGGGUAAAGGCCUACCAAGCCGACGAUCCUUAGCUGGUCUGAGAGGAUGAUCAGCCACACUGGGACUGAGACACGGCCCAGACUCCUACGGGAGGCAGCAGUGGGGAAUAUUGGACAAUGGGGGGAACCCUGAUCCAGCAAUGCCGCGUGAGUGAUGAAGGCCUUAGGGUUGUAAAGCUCUUUUACCAGGGAUGAUAAUGACAGUACCUGGAGAAUAAGCUCCGGCUAACUCCGUG